rnacentral:lncRNA from 1 species
UUUUUUUUUUUUUUUUUUUGAGGUAGAUGGACUACAACUUCUGAAGAACUGGGAUUAAAAUAAUGCUACGAAUCAAGCAUCUUCCAGUUCGUUGUUGCAUCUAGAAGAGAUACUAAUGGUUUCCUUCUGCAAGGCCCAAGUUUCCAAUUUUUCUGUACAGUUGAUAUAGGGAAAUUCUAGUUCUACACUCAGAACUAGUAGUGACUGCAGCAUGCUUAGGGCUUAGGCUGCAGGGUGGCUGGCGUCCACUGAGAGUUGAAUUGUCUGCAGGAGUGUUGGCAUCUGUUGACUCAAGGAUCCUUGGGUAUUUGAAGGCAAAAGCCAGAAAGCUGACCCGUGUUUCUCCUGGUGGGAGAAGGAGCUUCUAUUUUAACUAACUCCACACAAGGGGACCCAGCCAUCUUGGAAUUAAUAAGUGGCAGUUGUGAUCCUGUAUUAUCUCAAGAUCAAAUCUUCAAUCUACUUUUACAUGCCUGAGCUUAAUCCAACUGCUAGUGGGAUUAAUUUCUAGUGCCCUUUACAAUACCCGGGAAUAGACUAAGAUGUCCACAUCCAGACAUACUUCUGAGGGGUGGGGAUACUUUCCCUAGCUGAAGCACUUAAUGGAUCAUGCAUUUAUUCUGUCUAGUUUAAUGAAUAGUAUUUAAAAGUGAAUGUAUAAUUAGUCACAUUAGUCAAAUAUUUGUACUUUUGUGUAUUUUCACUUUUCAUAAGAUGCUGAAAUGGAGAAGGUGCUGUGACUGGUAGGUAGUCGCCUCAAAGAUAUUUUUCCUGACUCAUUAUUUAUAAUUGAAUGUGAAAGAGUGUAUCUUACUUUUUUAAAACGUUCAUCAUCAUUAUCAUCAUCGUCAUGGUGGUGGUGGUGUGUCUGAUGUGCAUGUUAGUAAGGCAAGUGCAUACCAGGGAGUGGGUGUGUGGAAGUCCAAGGUCAGUUGUGGAGAGUUAGUCUUCUCUUUCUACCUUGAGUUGUGGAUAUCUGCCUUGGACCGUCAGGCUUGAACAGCAAGCACCUUUACCUGCCGAGCCAUCCUGCCUACCAUCUUGUUGGCUUAUUGUUGAGUAAUGUCGUGAUAGGAUUCUUCAGUAGUGCCCUGGCAGUUGGGCAAACCUAAUAGCUUUAUUGGGUGUCUAAUGUUCCUACCGUACUUUCCCCCUGAGACAUCUAGAAGCUUUAUAUUUCAUCUGAAUCAGAUUUGGACAUUUAUUAGCAAAAUAGACUACACUAAUAGCAAAGAAUCCAUCUAUCCAUCCAUCCAUUCAUGCAACCACCCAUCUUUUUAUUCAAGAAUAUGGCCUACUGAGGCACUCUGUACACUGCUCUUAGGAGCAGCCUCUGUCUAGUUGAGGCCUGUUAGGAAGCAGGAUAGUAGCACCCUGCUGUCUAAGCAGUUUUUGUUGGUUCUCUGGAUUCUCAGCAAGGGGCCUAGGAAUAAGAGCAUGGAAUGCAUAUUUCACAGGUGUUAAUGCUUGGCCUGAUUGAUGAAAUUUCAAUGCAGAAUGAUAUACCAGCUUUCUGAGGCAUUCCUAGCUAUCUCAGUGGUCUGGUAGGAACUCUUAGGUAAGUUCUGAGGGACAAAGAACAAGGUUGGAAUUGGCCCUUCCUAAGAAGAUCAGUGUCUUGGCCAGGGUGUUGUGAAUUCUAAGGUACAGUUCAUCUUGGUAUCUUUACUCAUCCAAGUACUCUCUCUGUUACUGCAGAUGCUUAUAAACUGCAGACAGCAUGCCGUUCAUGAAUUUGGCUGCUUUUCCAUUGCUGCUAUGAAAAUUGCAAACAAAAUUGCUUUUCAUUUUGCUUUGACAGGCAGUUUUAAUUUUAUUCAUCAUUUUAACAAACUGUAUAACAUUUCAGCUAUAUGCAGCUUGUCUUUUGUCUUUUUCUGCACUAUAUUUAUGCCGAAAAUAUGAAAACAACCAUAAAGAAGAGCCCAAUAAUAGCAAGUUAUAGUAAAAAGGGCUUAUUAAAAGGAUAUUUUCUGCCAGGGUAAAAAACUUCCUUGAACACAUCAUAAAUAGUUUAUAACGCGUAGAACCGCACACUUUAUUGUCUGCAGAAGUUGAUUGUGUAGCUGGCCACAUUUUAAAAAUUAAAAAUAAUAAUCUCUCUGUCCCAAUUUUGAAUUUAUGUUUUGUUGACUCAGACCUUGUCACAGCCUAAUUAGAUAAUGAUUAUCUGAAGUCACCCGAAAGUCUCUUCAGCCUCACCAGAGAGUUGGGGAGUGAGUGGGGGAUUCUGUUGGUUAGGAAAGAUGGAAGAUGCUCAUAGGAUUUAUCUGAUAACAACGUGUGUACAUUUUCAUUUUGUAGAAAAAUGACUAAUGCUAUCCGGGCCAAUGGGCUUGCUUUUAUUAUGUGCUUUCCAAGCUCUUCGUUGUAGCUUCAGCAAUAUGAGGAGCCCUGCAAGCAAGCAAUAAAAACAGAGCAGCUCUCUUGCUCGCCGCCUCAUUGAUGUCUCUCACACAAGGCAAGGUCUGUUCAAAUAAUCACUCAGUGCUGGUGGCAUGCUCUCUAACCUUGACUUCCAGAGGACUGGAGUAGGAAGAGAAUCCUGUCUGCCAGCAGUUUGAAAGAAAAUCGUGUUUAUUCACAAUGCUCUUUAGGACAUAAAGACUUUUAUUUAAGAUUUUCAAGAUUGCUGGUAGGAUGAUUCAUAAGCAAAGUCCAGUUUUCCUUAGGGACUAAGCACCACGGUUUGUUUUUUGUUUUUCUAGCAUAGCAACUGAAUUUCAUCAUUCAUUCUGUCAUUUAGCAACAGAAGACAACUUCACCAAAGAACUUCACAGUACGAGUAAAAUUGGAAGUAAAUGGAAGCCAUAUGUUGUUGCUGUAAUUUCCAAGGUUAAAAAAAAAGGCUAUAGUUUAGGCUAUAGCCUUUUAUUCUAAGUGGAAGGAAGGUAAAUGCUUUUAUUAUCAAUGGCCUUAAGUUGUAACCAAAACC